UACGUAGGUGGCAAGCGUUGUCCGGAAUUACUGGGUGUAAAGGGCGUGUAGGCGGGACUUUAAGUCAGAUGUGAAAUACCCGAGCUUAACUCGGGAACUGCAUUUGAAACUGAGGUUCUUGAGUGAUGGAGAGGAAAGCGGAAUUCCUAGUGUAGCGGUGAAAUGCGUAGAUAUUAGGAGGAACACCAGUGGCGAAGGCGGCUUUCUGGACAUUAACUGACGCUGAGGCGCGAAAGCGUGGGGAGCAAACAGG
rnacentral:rRNA from 1 species